rnacentral:rRNA from 1 species
UAGGGAAUCUUCGGCAAUGGACGAAAGUCUGACCGAGCAACGCCGCGUGAGUGAAGAAGGUUUUCGGAUCGUAAAACUCUGUUGUUAGAGAAGAACAAGGACGUUAGUAACUGAACGUCCCCUGACGGUAUCUAACCAGAAAGCCACGGCUAACUACGUGCCAGCAGCCGCGGUAAUACGUAGGUGGCAAGCGUUGUCCGGAUUUAUUAGGCGUAAAGCGAGCGCAGGCGGUUUCUUAAGUCUGAUGUGAAAGCCCCCGGCUCAACCGGGGAGGGUCAUUGGAAACUGGGAGACUUGAGUGCAGAAGAGGAGAGUGGAAUUCCAUGUGUAGCGGUGAAAUGCGUAGAUAUAUGGAGGAACACCAGUGGCGAAGGCGGCUCGCUGGUCUGUAACUGACGCUGAGGCUCGAAAGCGUGGGGAGCAAACAGG